UACGGAGGGUGCAAACGUUUCGCGGAAUCAUUGGGCGUAAAGCGCACGUAGGCGGCUUCUUAAGUCGGGUGUGAAAGCCCUCGGCUCAACCGAGGAAGUGCAUUCGAAACUGAGGGGCUUGAAUACUGGAGAGGAUGGCGGAAUUCCCGGUGUAGAGGUGAAAUUCGUAGAUAUCGGGAGGAACACCAGCGGCGAAGGCGGCCAUCUGGACAGAUAUUGACGCUGAGGUGCGAAAGCGUGGGGAGCAAACAGG
rnacentral:rRNA from 1 species